UACGGAGGAUCCAAGCGUUAUCCGGAAUCAUUGGGUUUAAAGGGUCCGUAGGCGGUUUGGUAAGUCAGUGGUGAAAGCCCAUCGCUCAACGGUGGAACGGCCAUUGAUACUGCCAGACUUGAAUUAUUAGGAAGUAACUAGAAUAUGUAGUGUAGCGGUGAAAUGCUUAGAGAUUACAUGGGAUACCAAUUGCGAAGGCAGGUUACUACUAAUGGAUUGACGCUGAUGGACGAAAGCGUGGGUAGCGAACAGG
rnacentral:rRNA from 1 species